rnacentral:ncRNA from 1 species
UCGGCGUUUAACUUCUUAGAGGGACAAGGGGCGUUUAGCCACACGAGAUUGAGCAAUAACAGGUCUGUGAUGCCAUUAGAUGUUCGGGGCCGCACGCGCGCUACACUGACCGGAUCAGCGUGUGCUCUCCUUGGCCGACAGGUCCGGGAAACCCGUUGAACCCCGGUCGUGCUAGGGAUAGGGAAUUGCAAUUAUUUCCCUUGAACGAGGAAUUCCCAGUAAGCGCGAGUCAUUAGCUCGCGUUGAUUACGUCCCUGCCCUUUGUACACACCGCCCGUCGCUACUACCGAUUGAAUGGUUUAAAAAGGUCCUCCGAUUGGACCCGGUCCGGGCGGCGACGUCCGAGCCGGCGUCCGAGAAGACGAUCUAACUUGAUCAUUUAGAGGAAGUAAAAGUCGUAACAAGGUUUCCGUAGGUGAACCUGCGGAAGGAUCAUUA